rnacentral:rRNA from 1 species
GACGAACGCUGGCGGCGCGCUUAACACAUGCAAGUCGAGCGAGAACCAGGGCUUCGGCCCUGGGGACAGCGGCGAACGGGUGAGUAACACGUGGAUAACCUGCCCUCGACACCGGGAUAGCCCGGGGAAACCCGGAUUAAUACCGGAUGGCCCUUCCGGCUUUCGAGCCGGUCGGAAAAGGUAGCUUCGGCCUCCGGCCGAGGAUGGGUCCGCGGCGGAUUAGCUUGUUGGUGGGGUAACGGCCUACCAAGGCUCCGAUCCGUAGCUGGUCUGAGAGGACGAUCAGCCACACUGGGACUGAGACACGGCCCAGACUCCUACGGGAGGCAGCAGUGGGGAAUCUUGCGCAAUGGGCGAAAGCCUGACGCAGCGACGCCGCGUGAGGGAGGAAGGCCUUCGGGUUGUAAACCUCUUUCAGGAGGGACGAAGCUACUCGGGUGAAUAGCCCAGAGGGUGACGGUACCUCCAGAAGAAGCCCCGGCUAACUACGUGCCAGCCGCCGCCGUAACAC